AGCGGGUUAGCUCAGAUGGAAGAGCAGUGGGCUUUGAUCCCAUUGGUCGGGGGUUCGACUCCCUCACCCGCCGCCA
rnacentral:tRNA from 3 species